GCCUCGGUAGCUCAAUGGUAGAGCGUCAGACUCUUACAGUCCCUCUGACCGGGUAAGAGUGUGAAGGUUGCGGGUUCGAGUCCUGCGCGAGGCA